AAAAUACAUCAAUACAGAGCACAUAUGAAAUUCUGCCUGUGUAAUGAAGAAUAUUCUUUGACUACACUGUUUCCAGUGUAAACUACUGAACUUACAAACACAAGUUGCAUGGGAGAUAAGCCAAAGUGAUGAAGUCCAAGCAAGAUGAGGAAGCACAGAGACUGUGGCAAAUUUACCAAGGAAAACAUCCGCCAGAGAGCAGAGAACACGGAUAUUCUGAACUAAUUUAUGCUCUUCAUUUGAAACACUGAUGGAUGGUGUUGAGAGUAAAGCAAGGAAGCUGUGAAAAUUUGGGGGUACUGGUAUCUUUGAUAUAUUUCUAGCAAUGCCUUUCAUGAGAAUUUUACUUCUUUG